GAAGGGUGGUGUGGGCUCAGGACGAAAACUUAUUCCCCGCUUCAUGCCUGAUGCUCGAUUACUAGCAUAUCGGAUUUCAUGGUGGAUGGUGUCGACCGCCACUCGGAAGUGAAAUACGUUUGCAACAUUCCUUUCCCAGGGGUAGAUCGCUGCCCUCUGGACACUCCUUUGCCAUACUAGCGUAGCCCGCGUCUUUUAGGGCCGAGAUUAUUUAUGGUCAUCCCCGCGUCCGUCUCUGUAUUACACUGGUUGGCGGGGUAAAGUGUCCCCCUUGACAUGAUGCAUACGGGGAGUGAGAGGUGCGCUCCCCAUGGUGCUACUGACACCCCCACCAGACUCCUACGGGAGGCAGCAGUGAGGAAUAUUGGUCAAUGGGCGUAAGUCUGAACCAGCCAUGUAGCGUGCGGGAUGACGGCUCUAUGAGUUGUAAACUUCUUUUGUGCGAGGAUAAAGUCAGAUACGUGUAUCUGUUUGCAAGUAUCGCACGAAUAAGGAUCGGCUAAUUCCGUGCCAGCAGCCGCGGUAAUACGGAAGAUUCGAGCGUUAUCCGGAUUUAUUGGGUUUAAAGGGAGCGCAGGCGGUCUGAUAAGUGAGAUGUGAAAUUUCGCGGCUCAACCGUGACCGUGCAUCUAGUACUGGAGAACUAGAGUAUACUUGAGGUAGGCGGAAUUUAUGGUGUAGCGGUGAAAUGCUUAGAUAUCAUGCAGAACUCCGAUUGCGAAGGCAGCUUACCGGAGUCUAUCUGACGUUGAGGCUCGAAAGCGUGGGUAUCGAACAGGAUUAGAUACCCUGGUAGUCCGCGC
rnacentral:rRNA from 1 species